GUAAGGAAAAAAGUAUGAGAUAAACUGCCUCAGUGAACGGUCAUAACCAGAAGUCUCAGGUCAAUUACGUCCGGCAGGCGGUAUAUAGGUGGUCCACGUUUUUCGGGAUAUAUGGCGUAAAAGAGCGCGCGGGCGGUGAUAAAUGUGAUAUGAAAACCCUUGGUUUACCAAAGAAAUGCAUAUGAAAAGUCUUUCUUUAGAGCAGAGAGAGAGACAGAGGAAACUCCAUGUAGCGGGGAAAUGUAGAUAUAUGGAAGAACACACCAGUGGAAGGGGGCUCUGGUGUGCAAAGGACGGAGGCUCGAAAGCAUGGGUAGCGAACACAGAUUAGAUACCCUGGUAGUCCAUGCCGUAAAAGAUGAGUGUUAGGUGUUGGAGGGUUUCCGCCCCUCAGUGCCGCGCAGAACGCAUUAAGCACUCUCGCGCGGGGAGUACGACCGCAAGGUUGAAAAUCAAAGGAAUUGACGGGGGCCCGCACAAGCGCUGGAGCAUGUGGUUUAAUUUGAAGCUACGCGAAGAACCUUACCAGGUCUUGACAUAUUGCGCCAACCCUAGAGAUAGGGGGUUUCCCUUUGGGAGACAAUGACAGGUGGGGCAUGGUGGUGUUCAGCUCGUGUGUUGAGAUGUUGGGGUAAAUCCCGCAACGAGAGCAACCCUUGUUUCUAGUGUCCAGCACUCAGUUGGGCACUCUAUAGAGAGUGCCGGUGACAAAAAGGAGGAAGGGGGGGGGGAGGUCAGAUCAUCACGCGCCCUAUGACACGGGGUACACACGUGUUACACAGGGGGCUACAAAGAGUGAAGCACUCGUGAGGGCACAAUAAUAUCUUAAAACCGUUUUCAGAUUUGAGUGCAGGGUGCAAAUCUCGUGCACGAAGUGGGAAUAUCUAGUAAUCGCGGAUCAGCAUGCCGCGGUGAAUAUGUUCCCGGGCCUUGUACACACCGCCCUCACACCCGAGAGUUGCAACACCCAAAGUCGGGGGCAACCCUUUCGGGAGCUAGCCGCUUAGGCAGUCGGAUUG
rnacentral:rRNA from 2 species